rnacentral:rRNA from 1 species
UAACGCGUAUGCAACCUACCUUUUACAGGGGCAUAACACUGAGAAAUCGGUACUAAUUCCCCAUAAUAUCUGAGACGGCAUCGUUUCGGGUUGAAAACUCCGGUGGUAAAAGAUGGGCAUGCGUUGUAUUAGCUGGUUGGUGAGGUAACGGCUCACCAAGGCGACGAUACAUAGGGGGACUGAGAGGUUAACCCCCCACAUUGGUACUGAGACACGGACCAAACUCCUACGGGAGGCAGCAGUGAGGAAUAUUGGUCAAUGGACGCAAGUCUGAACCAGCCAUGCCGCGUGCAGGAAGACGGCUCUAUGAGUUGUAAACUGCUUUUGUACGAGGGUAAAUGCAGGUACGUGUAUCUGUUUGAAAGUAUCGUACGAAUAAGGAUCGGCUAACUCCGUGCCAGCAGCCGCGGUAAUACGGAGGAUCCAAGCGUUAUCCGGAUUUAUUGGGUUUAAAGGGUGCGUAGGCGGUUUUAUAAGUUAGAGGUGAAAUCUCGGGGCUCAACUCCGAAAUUGCCUCUAAUACUGUAGGACUAGAGAGUAGUUGCGGUAGGCGGAAUGUAUGGUGUAGCGGUGAAAUGCUUAGAGAUCAUACAGAACACCGAUUGCGAAGGCAGCUUACCAAACUAUAUCUGACGUUGAGGCACGAAAGCGUGGGGAGCAAACAGGAUUAGAUACCCUGGUAGUCCACGCAGUAAACGAUGAUAACUCGUUGU